AACACGUAAGGAGCGUAGGGCUAUUUCAUAUCUGCUGCCGUUGCUAGUGCAUCAUUGAAAUUUGCGAGAUAUUUCCCUGGUACCAUGUCGCCCAAAGUCGUAAUAUUAGCGUUCGCAAUUCUGGUGGCUACAUUCGUCCAUGGUCCGAGUGAAGCGUUUCUAUACGCGCCAAUAAAGCCUUUGUGUUACUGGAUUUGUCAACCUCAACCUAUCGGUGACCCCCUGGUCUGUGACCGCUGCCACUACCAAGUGGGCACAUGUGUGUCCUUCAACUUCCCGAAAUGCUAUGUUACUGGACGAAACUGUGCUAGAAGCAACUGGUACGCCAUCAAGUGCUGCCCUCAUCACCACUGUUAGCUAGAAAGAAACCCACGUGUUCGAAAUUCCAUUAGAGGUCGCCACACAGUGGAGCCUUUUAAACUUUAUCGUGCAUUACAUCGAAUCUGGUAUUGCGGACAACUGCAGAGGCAGUGAAAUAUAAUGAUUUGAAAAAAAAA